GCCUCGGUUGUGUAGUGGUAGCACUCGCCUCCGGCAUAGGCGGAACGCGGGUUCAACUCUCGCCUGAAGUU